rnacentral:rRNA from 1 species
UACAGAGGGGGCAAGCGUUGUUCGGAAUUACUGGGCGUAAAGGGCGCGUAGGCGGCCUGCUAAGUCGAACGUGAAAUCCCUGGGCUCAACCCAGGAACUGCGUCCGAUACUGGUUGGCUUGAAUCCGGGAGAGGGACGUGGAAUUCCAGGUGUAGCGGUGAAAUGCGUAGAUAUCUGGAGGAACACCGGUGGCGAAGGCGACGUCCUGGACCGGCAUUGACGCUGAGGCGCGACAGCGUGGGGAGCAAACAGG